AGCGAACGCUGGCGGCAGGCCUAACACAUGCAAGUCGAACGAAGUCUUCGGACUUAGUGGCGGACGGGUGAGUAACACGUGGGAACGUGCCCUUUGGUACGGAAUAACUCAGGGAAACUUGAGCUAAUACCGUAUGUGCCCUUCGGGGGAAAGAUUUAUCGCCAUUGGAGCGGCCCGCGUCUGAUUAGCUAGUUGGUGAGGUAAAGGCUCACCAAGGCGACGAUCAGUAGCUGGUCUGAGUGGAUGAUCAGCCACAUUGGGACUGAGACACGGCCCAAACUCCUACGGGAGGCAGCAGUGGGGAAUCUUGCGCAAUGGGCGAAAGCCUGACGCAGCCAUGCCGCGUGAAUGAUGAAGGUCUUAGGAUUGUAAAAUUCUUUCACCAGGGACGAUAAUGACGGUACCCGGAGAAGAAGCCCCGGCUAACUUCGUGCCAGCAGCCGCGGUAACAC
rnacentral:rRNA from 1 species